rnacentral:rRNA from 1 species
AUUAGUUGCUAACGGGUUAUGCCGAGAACUCUAAUGAGACUGCCUUCGUAAGGAGGAGGAAGGUGGGGACGACGUCAAGUCAUCAUGGCCCUUAUGCCUGGGGCGACACACGUGCUACAAUGGUAUGUACAGAGAGACGCAAUACGGCGACGUGGAGCAAAUCUCUAAAACAUAUCUCAGUUCGGAUUGUAGUCUGCAACUCGACUACAUGAAGCUGGAAUCGCUAGUAAUCGCGGAUCAGCCAUGCCGCGGUGAAUACGUUCCCGGGUCUU